GUGCUCACUUUGGCAGCACAUAUACUAAAACUGAAAUGAUACAGAGCGUAGCAUGGCCCCUGCACAGGGAGGACUUGCAAAUUUGUGAAGCGUUCCAUAAAAAA
ensembl:snRNA U6 U6 spliceosomal RNA